UUGAUUGAUUUUACAGUUUGAAUAUAUGAUAAUACCUUAUUGAUUGAUUUUAUAAUUUAAAUGCAUGUAUUGCUUGCCUUAUGUGAUUGCGGUAGAAUUGAAAAACUGGAAAUUAAAGGUAAACGGAAAAUUGUUUGAUCAAGUGAACGGAUGAAAUAGUAGCCUUACUGAAUAUAAUGGGAGAUGGUGGACAGACCGGGUACAUAGAGAACCCUACCAUGAACGUUGCCUCAUACCGGACGGGUUAUCGAAGUUUGGUAAUUUAGCGCUUAUACCAGACGUGGUAUGGAUACGACCCAUUAAUUAGAAAUGUUAAAGUAAAGGGUUCACGCAUGGUGGGGACAUCCCUAUGGACCCUCAUAGAUACCAGUAGCCUGGUAAAAUAGAAAAUUGUUGUUCCAACCG
rnacentral:lncRNA from 1 species